UACGGAGGGUGCAAGCGUUAUCCGGAUUUACUGGGUUUAAAGGGUGCGUAGGCGGAUAUGUAAGUCCGUGGUGAAAUCUCUGGGCUUAACCCGGAAACUGCCAUGGAUACUAUGUGUCUUGAAUGUUGUUGAGGUGAGCGGAAUAUGUCAUGUAGCGGUGAAAUGCUUAGAUAUGACAUAGAACACCAAUUGCGAAGGCAGCUCACUAAGCAAAUAUUGACGCUGAGGCACGAAAGCGUGGGGAUCAAACAGG
rnacentral:rRNA from 1 species